UACUUUCUCUGACGUUUUUUGACUUAGUGGCCCAUUCGCCCUAUUUUCCUUAUUCGCCUCUUUCGUCCAAUACGUUCUUUCUCAUUCUGUUUUCGUCCUCUUCCGUUGAUUCGCCGUCAUUAAAUUGAAAGCAGUUAAUUUCCCGGACGAAGGUUUCCCUGGGAAAAAUCUAAUUUUUUCCAAUUAAAUCGAAGUGGAGAUCGAAAGAUUGCCGUAAGACGGAUGUAAACAAAAGGCCACGUGCGUUGUGCGGUAUUAUUUGUUUGUGGCGCGUAAAUAAACGUAGAGAGACGUGAAUAAAUGAGAUAAAUGUCAGCCGGUUUCGUAGGCUUUGUUUUGACCGCGAAUCGUCGGCAGAAGAAACGGGAUUUGAACUGUGAAAAGUGUGAAAUUUGUGUAUAAUUUGGUGUCAAAUGUGUAGAAGAUGUCAAAGCGCAAUGUUACGUAUGUGAAGCCACAAGACCCGACUUUCCUGCGGAGGUUGAAGGAGCAAAUUGGCUACCAAGAAGGACCGAAUAUUGAUACAAAGCGCCAGAAGAUUGAGGAUUUGUCUGGGUCGGACUCGGACUUAGAAGAACAUUCGGCGGGAGGGUCCAGGUCAGGUGAUCCAGGCGCUUCGAGCGGUCGCAAGUUAGCCGGAGAUCGGGAGGACGAGAAGCCACAAGUAGUGGUUUUAGAGGAAGGGGAUCUAACAGCUGCGGAAGCAGAGGCGGAGAGGGCUCGAAUAGAGAAAGAGGAACGAGAAAAACCGGCCGACUUAAAUCAACGGAUCAUCUUUAAAGCGAAACAUAAACCGACAAAGGAUUCAAACAGUGUCCUGGCGAAUAGUUCCAACGAGAAUCGUGAAAAGGAAGAGAAGAAAUCGAAGAAGAGAUCCAAGGAUACGAAAAAAGUUAGCAAAUUAUCUUUUAAUCAGGACGACGACGAGGAGGGCGAAGAUAACUAAUAAAGGUCCAGCAUCAAGGUGAAGGAAUGAAUAAUAUUUUUAAAAUUCGAAACAUACCAUGGAGAGUUUUGUUUGCAGUAAGCGAGUGAGACAUUUGACGUGUGUUUUUAAGCAAGACUAGGCUGUGGAUUCCUAGUUGCGAAAAUUAGUUUUAGAAGAAACAAACUAGAAGGUCAGAGAAAGAAAAUAGGGUGUCAAAUUAUUUCCAUAUAGGAGUGUUAUAUACACUUUAUAUAACGCGCCGAACUCAAUAUGUACAGCAACUACCACAAAAUAAUACUACUAUACUCUCCAUUUCGAACCAAAAAAAGCAACAACAACCAAGUGGAAACCUACAUACCGAUGACUACAUAAAUACGCAGUAUCGUAUACUAACGUAUAUAUCUGCACUUGGUUGUGUUAGUGAGGCCGGGCUACACUUCAUUCCUCGUGCCCCUGAUGUGCUUUCUUUGCUGCAAUAUAUGUGCAGAAGUGGCUCAACGCCGCCUAGCAACAAAAAAACUGACUACCAUCUAUGACGACGGUCAAGACUCAAGAGGAUCCAUCCAAAAAAAUCUGAAAACUUAUUGUGGCAAAACUGAAUUCAAUUAACAAGCAAAUGUUACAUUACAGUCAUUAUUGACUUUCCUAAUUGUGUUCCUGGAAUCGUUACAAUUCAAGGAACUCCCUUGCGUAGGACGAUUUACUCUGCCAGCGAUCCUAAUCGCAUUUUUGCUUGUUUAAUUUGAAACAGUGUCAACCUUUCAUGAAGAUAAAUUAAGUAAAAUAAAAUCUGGAACCAGUUUGAAGAAUGUCUAGAGAAUGAAUUGUAAUCUCUUAGAAUUUUUGGGGGUGUGUAUAUGGGGCAGAGUUCGCGUUCCUGUUUUGAAAAUUGGGUCGGUUAUGGUUUCUGGCUGAUAAAUUAAUCGGCUUUACACCAUUGAGAUUUCCCUGAUUAUAAAUUAGCAUCUAUCUUUCCCUGAGGUUAUCUGAAAAUCGUUUCUACGUGGGCGCUCUAAAGUACAAUGCACUGUAGUAAGCGAGACUUUUGUUUAUUUGCCUUUCAAAAUAUAGAUAGACUUGAUGUCAAUCAUUCUGAAGAUAUUUAUUUCAGAUUUUUUUUUUGAGAUUUUUCCGAGGAAAAUUUAACGAGAAAAGGCGCCGAGAAAAGUGCAAAAUUUCAGUAUUGUUUAUAUCCUUUUUAUGCCCCGAAUUUCUUCAUCAAAGAAGACAUGAAAAUCGUUUUCCCUUCUAAAUGGAAAAAUCGAUCCCGGAUCGUUGUAAGGAUGUUUACGAUACGCUACUACAUAAUAUCGAGGCCCAAUGUAGUGAGCUUUAUUCUUAUGAAAAUCAAUCACGUCUACUAUGUAUGAUUACCUAGGGGACAUACAUAUUCAAGUGUUUACGAAAUGUGAUUAAUGAUUAUUCGCUACUUAUCGUAGUCCUCGAGGAGUGGUCUCUGUUAAAGAAUUUAAGAUUUUUUUUCUGAGCAUUUUGUAAUAUAUUUUUAAAGGGAAUUUUAAAAAGUUGUGAUUUUCCAAGGUCACAGAUUUUAACUAUUGAAACGGCAUUUUAACGUACAGACUUAACUACAGUCCUCAAACUAUGAAUUUCGGAAUUUCGGUGUUCUUCAAUGAAUAAAAAAAAACUUCUGAAUGAAUCGCAAUUAUCCUAGUUUGCGGAACGUAGAAAUAUGUUCUGAAUAAGUCGUGAAAAUUUUAAAGAAUUUCGUUGAAU
rnacentral:misc_RNA from 1 species